CUUGUUUAUAGAAAAAAGAGAAAUGAAUACAAAUGCAAUGGAAGGCAGUGCAAGAUCCAUCUCAAUUAAUGAAAAAUAGAACACAAGGCUAUUAUUGUACUUGUCUUGGAUGUUGUUUCAUGACUGCUGAUUAAGUUAUACUGCUCAAAACAAGGCAAAACACCAAAACAUGUAAAUGCUUGAAUAUAUCCAAUGACAUUUAAUAAGGCUUUCAAGGAUGUAGCUAAUUUUAGCAUAGCAUACAAAGCCAAGAAAACUGGAGUCGCCAAAUGAAACUUGGCUAGAAGACAUGUGAGGGAAUCAAUGGGAUCUGAAAAUAAUGCCCUAUCUAUAUUUUCAGGGGUGUUUUGAUAUAAUUCUUGUCUCCUUAUUCAGAUGUUAGUCUGAACUUUAGUCUUCCACAAAACAAAUGACAUUUCUUUCCUGUCCUCAGGAAGGUAAGACAUCCUGAGAAUCCUUCUGAAGUGGACCCCAAUGGAGACACACACACUUAAAGCCUCUUACUGCUACUGCAUAUAGUAAGAAGGAAGGCAUGGGAAGUAUGUCUGUGGGGCAAGCACCUGCCAUUGCAAAGGAGCAAGAAAAGGCUCAGAGACCAACAUCAAGGCAAAGAUACUCUUCAGGUAUGCUGCCUCCUUUGGAAGGAUGCCUUUAUUUACUCCCUAAAGGAGGAUAAAAAAGUGAAACUGCUGCUGGUAGCUACCGGAAGUGAAUGCUCUUCAGUUUGCUGUACUGAGGAGCCUACAGGAUUCAGUUCAAGGACAUCUGAUACCUCAGAAGGAACUGAAUGUGUCUGGCCCUGUGGAAGACCCAUGAUGAGAGAUUUAAGGAUGUCACAAAACUUGAAAGGUACUCCUCACACCAAAAGGGAACUCAGGAAAGCAAAGGGUUUUUUUUUUAUUUUUUUUUUUGUUUUUUUUUUUUGAGAGCAGAGUGGAAGGCGGGUAUGUAUUCAAACCUAUUGAAGACCUGAACAAGCUGCCUAAUUAUAGUUUAAAACAAAAAAAUCUUUCCCAGUGCUUACUGCUGCUACUCCCACACCCUCAAAAAAGAAAAAGAAUUCCUACUGUUGUAUUAGAGACUUAAUUUUUGUAUUCUAUGUGAUGCUCUGUGGCAUUAUAAAAAUGACAAAACUAAUGUACAAAAGGAAAUAAAAUAUUGAAACAGACAUUUGAUUUUCUUGAG
rnacentral:lncRNA from 1 species